rnacentral:lncRNA from 1 species
UCGAGUCCCAUCACUAUGAAAUCAUGUCUAAAAUAAAACCCUAAAAAGCGACUUGCGAAGAGUUCUCUUUACUAUGUAAUAAAUUUGAUAAGAAAAAAAGAGAUGUGAUUUUCUAUCAAAAACAAGAGUGUUUACGUGAAAUAUCUGAGUGCAUUGGUAACAUGGAUGAUGUCAGGGACGGGAACUCGGAUAUGUGUGGAUGUUGAAGAGACAAACCUCUUUAGAGUUUAAGAGGGUUUUUCUUCUAAUUUCAUCUUUGAUUUGAUUCUAUUUUUUGAUAGAUUUUGUUUUAACAUUCAUGUCAUGUCUCUGCCUCUCAUCCUAUAUGUAACUUAAAAUAAAAUAACUUUUAUUUUAUUGAGUGCUCCGUUCUUUCAAUUAAACCACUACUCUGCUUAAUUAGUAUAUCUUUCCAAACCUAGAGGUAUACUAAUAGGUUAUGGACCGCAAAAACGAUGGACGGACACGGAGAUCAAGUUCAUGGAUUAUGUUAUAUUAUAUGAUAUUGGGUCACUUAUGUACUUUACAUUAUGUACAGUUUGCACAAGGCCGGAUAUUAGUUAUGCAGUAACUAAUCUAAGCCAGUUAAACAGCUGUUACACGGAGUAACAUUAGGUAGCUGCUAAAAGAGAGCUGAGGUACUUAAAAUGUACAAAGAGCUUUGGUCUUAGAUACGAGUCAUCUGAUACAGCCAAAGUUGUUAGUUAUGCAGAUGCAAGCCACGGAUCUACCUAUGAUCGAAAGUCAUUUGGUGGAGUAGUGUUCAAAUGGACAGGAGCUGCAAUCUCAUGGGAAUGCAAAAAGCAAAGGACUGUUGCGCUCUCAACUGCGGAAGCUGAGUAUGUGGCUCUAUCUGAAGCAGCUAGAGAGGCAAUAUUUCUAAGAAGAUUCAUAACUCAUAGCAUCUACUCUGGAACCAAUGACAGUCUACAGUGAUAGUCAGUCUGCUGUUGCAAUUGCACAAAAUCCUGUGCAUCAUCAACAUACUAAACAUAUUGAUGUGCGCCACCAUUUUAUAAAAGAAGCAGUUGAGGAUGGUAUUAUUCAGCUUGAGUAUGUAGAGACAGCUUGUAUGGCAGCUGAUGCGUUGACCAAACCUCUGGCGAAUGGUCAAGACUAUGUCAAAUUGUCAAGUCAGUUCAAUGUAUGCGCAUUGCGCUAGUGUCGCACGCUACAAGACAGCGUGAGAGACCUUAGCCCAACUUAACACGCGGGGGCGAGAAGGAGGAAAGAAGCUGUAGUAUAUACAUAAGUUACGUUGACUUUUUAGGGCUUACCUUGCAUCCUAUUUUGAAUAUAAAUCUAUUUCUAAAAAAAGAUUUACGGACAUAAAU